CUGGGAGUGACUGUACGUGUGUGUGUGUGUGUGUGUGUGUCCCUCACCUGAUAAUCUGUGCUGGGGUUGGCGGUGUGGGAUGUUCCAGGUGGCUAAAAUUUUUGAAAUUUGACAUGAUCAAGAAGGAAGGCAGCAGUGUGAUGCGACAAAGCCCCGAAGGUCAACAAUUUGUGACUUUAUAAAUGGUGUGCAUGUAUGUAUGCAUGCAUGCUGUCUGAUGAUGAUGAUGAUGGGUGGUCCAAAAAUACGCUGACCCUUCAGAUGUGCGUGCACGAAGAGCACAUGCACACUCUAAAUCCACAGUCUGAGAUCCCAUGGCACCCAAAAUAUUGAUAGUAUAUACAUCUACUUGAGGACAACAAAGGCUUGGAUUUCACGCUUAGGUCUGCGAGCUCACCUUCAACAUUCUAAUGGUAGAAACUUCCUUCAUAUUGUCCACUGUCACAAAGCCCAGCAUCAUCGGAAGAUGUAGACGUUCACACAGGGGACUUUCUUCACUGUUUCAUGUCGGUGGCUUCCUCCAGAACGGUCAGGGUUCAGGGGUGUCCAUAGUCCGGCCGAUGGAUGUUUUAGGACAUGCAGCUUGUUCAUGACUGGUCUGCGGCAUCUUGCAAAAAGAAAAUGAACCAAAAUGUUUAUCAAAAUCAAGAUUUUUAGAAGACAUUGGAUCAUUAUAACCAAAACAACAAUGCGGAAACAUUUUGGUUUGAUUAAAUAAAGAGCACUGUGGUCAUAA